GCCAGCAGCCCUAUCACCCUGCAGCUCCCAGCUGGGAGCCCACUGGAGCUCAGCAGUGUGAGCCUGGUCAGUACCUGGAUGGGAGACCUCCUGGGAAAAUGGCUGCUGCUGAAA
rnacentral:rRNA from 1 species